GAGACUCUGUGCGCGUGCAUAUCAAUAAGCGGAGGAAAAGAAACUAACAAGGAUUCCCUUAGUAACGGCGAGUGAAGCGGGAAGAGCUCAAAUUUGAAAUCUUAAAGGGUUUCCCUUUACGAAUUGUAGUUUAAAGAAGUGUUUUCUGUUGGAGUUUCGGUAAAAGUUCUUUGGAAUAGGACAUCAUAGAGGGUGAGAAUCCCGUAUUUGACCAGUAUUUUCCAGCUGUGUGAUACACUUUCAAAGAGUCGGAUUGUUUGGGAAUGCAGUCCAAAAUGGGUGGUAAAUUUCAUCUAAAGCUAAAUAUUGGCGAGAGACCGAUAGCGAACAAGUAACCGUGAGGGAAAGAUGAAAAGAACUUUGAAAAGAGAGUUAAACAGUACGUGAAAUUGUCAAAAGGGAAGCGUUUGACACCAGUGUUGUUUUCUCGAAAAUCAAUUACGAAUGUUUUGUUUUUGAGGAGUUAUGACUUCAUCCGGCUUGCUCCUUUCUUUACUGAAACUUUCUUAAUGCACUUUUCGGUUAACAAGUCAACUAUCAAUUUCUUUUGUUGUAAAAGGGUAUGAGGAAGGUGGCUUUCUUUUCGGAGAAAGUGUUUAUAGCCUUGUGCCUCUACAAUCGGAGAGAUUGAGGUCUGCAGCGUAGAUCCUUCGGGGUUAGAUGCAUUUGUGCUAAGCUAUAGCCUUUCAUAGACAACUUGUUGACUAUGAUCAGUCAUGUAGCUUACUCGCUUAUGUCAUUUUACCUACGCUUAGGAUGUUGAUCUGUAGUGCGUGCGC
rnacentral:rRNA from 1 species